rnacentral:tmRNA from 1 species
GGGGCCGACUGGUUUUGACAGCGAGACCAAUGGCUAUGUAAGCAUGCCGAGCGCUGAGAUACAGCUCGAAAAUAUCAUAUUUCAACUUUUUAAAUGGCGAAUCUAAUUACGCUCUUGCCGCAUAAUCCGAAUUAUAGUAGGAUCAUGCCUCGUCUCUGCUAGGCAGAGAAGCGAGAUGCCCCUUGGAAGCCCUUGUUGGCGGCGUACAGUUUAGGGGCACCAUAAAAGUCAACAACGCGACCUUGCUGCUUCGACAAGGUUGUUUAUUAAGAAGCUAAGCGUAUAAUAGGCGGUUUUUGGUCAGUUAUACGCCGACAAUCAAACAAAAACUAAGCAUGUAGAAAGCAUAGGUAUUUCUUGUUUGGACGGGAGUUCGAAUCUCCCCGGCUCCACGA